rnacentral:lncRNA from 1 species
CUGUUGCAAUUUCCAGCCUGAUAAAAGUGUCAUUACAGACCUGAGGCUUGGGGCCAGGCAAGAUUGUUUAUGCCAACAAUUGGAUUAUGACGAGUGUCUGUUUUUAUUCUUCUGGGACCCUGGGCCACGCUGUGUCAGUUGAACCUCUGGAGGAGGGGUUGGAGACUCAAGUGUUAAGGGCAAAGAAAGAAGGAGAAGUCGGCUUCUGCCACCAGGAAGAGGGCCCUCACCAGCACCCUGCGGGCAUCUUGAUCUCAGACUUCCAGCCUCCAGAGCCAUGAGAAAUGAACUGUUGUAGUUUCAGCGACGCAGUCCAUCAAACUUUAUUACGGCAGCCUGAACAGGGCCUGUGUGAGUUUGCUACCUUGCAAUAUCAGAAAUUGAGGAGGAAGUUCCCUGCCCUGUUUCCCCCCGGGAUGAAGUUGCAGAUCACUUGGAGAGGACCGACAGGAGAGGAAAGAGGAGGCCCCUGCUCCUGAUGGCACAGCACCCCAGGGAAAGUGAUCAAAACCAGCAGAAGCAACAAGGAAAGUCAGCUGUGCCGAGAAUUGCAUUGCAAAUUCAUUCCACGCGUUUGACCUGUGAGAGGAAGUGUUCCAUGCUUUCAUGUUAGGGAAAUUUGGCCAGACUGGGAGCCACUGUCCAUUGCUCCACAGACGUGGAGUGCCCACUACUUCCUUGUCAGAUUGUCAGACAGUGUCCUGAAAAUAAGGGACAACAGUGGAUGUGACGAAGAACCUAUUUUGAGGACUUUUGUUCAGAGGAGAAGCAACAAAUGGUACACAGGUGAUAGGGCUUGGAUGUUUGUCCCCUCCAAAUCUCAUGUGGAAAUGUGAUUCCCAGUGUUGGAGGUGGGGUCUGGUGGGAGGUGACCAGGUCCUGGAGGUGGACCUCCCAUCCCCUUGGUGAUAAGUGAGUUCUCACUCAGUUCGUUCACAGGAGAUCUGGUUGUUUAAGAGUCUGGAACCUCCUCUUCUCUCCCUCUUGUUCCUGCUUUCCCCGUGUGGUGUGCGUGCUCCUGCUUCACCUUCUGCCAUGAUUGCAAGCUUCCUGAGACCCUCACCAGAAGCUGAGCACAUGUUGGUGCCAGGCUUUUACAGCAUGCAGAACUGGGAGCCAAUUAAACCUCUUUUCUUUAUAAAUAGCAAGCAAAGGAAUAAAGGAACGGCAGAAUUUCAAAGAAAACACAGAGGCAGGCUGGGCAUGGGGAGGUGGCAAAUUCAGAGUGAGUAGUCAAAAGCAGCCUUCUGGGUGCAUCCUUCCUGAACUACAACUUGAAUGACAAGAAGAGACCAGCCAGGCCCUGUCAAUACCUGUGGACAGAAUCCUCUGCUGGGAGACAGUAUGUGAAAAAUCUCCAAUCAGGAGCAAGGAGCAAACUGGACUCUGAGCAGGCUGUUGUGGAACAGGGCUGUCCCCUUGGCCUUCUGUGAGUGCCCACUGCACCUGUUCCCCUUGCCUGGAAUGUCCUCUCCGCACUUUCAUUUUUCUUUAACCAAUCUAAAGGACAACUUGUCACUUUCCAGGGCAUAAAUUCCCUGACCUCUGACAGGCCAGGUCCCCUGAAAUUCCCCGUACAGCCCCCACUCCUGUUGUUCAUUUCCAGCAGGUCUCACAAUUGUAAGCAGGUCAUUAUUUACAUGAUUACUUGAGGUCUUCCCCAAGACCAUAGGCCCAUGAGCACAGACACAGCUGGCACUACUGCUCACCGUUCCACCCUGGGCACCCCAUCUGUGCCGGGUCUGGUCCAUGGCAAUGCCCAAUCCAUCCACUUUGAAUGAAUCAGUGAAUGAAUGCUCACAGACAGAUACACCCCCAUCUUAUCCAGAAGACAGAAAUUGUCCGCUGCCAUGACCUCGGGUGUGAAGAUUGCAGAACCAUGGUUAGGCACGCUGCCAUAGCAUUCCCUGAGUAUCUCAUGCCACCUGUUCUUUGGGCCCUAAGGUGACUUAGAGUGUGGAAUCAGCUCAGGCUUUUCCCCA